UAGCAUAACGAGGCGAACCGGGGGAACUGAAACAUCUAAGUACCCCGAGGAAAAGAAAUCAACCGAGAUUCCGAAAGUAGCGGCGAGCGAAAUUGGACUAGCCCUUAAGCUUUACACGCGUUAGACGAACAGCCUGGAAAGGCCGACGAUACAGGGUGAUAGUCCCGUAGUUGACGACGUGUGUUCAGUGAAAUCGAGUAGGGCGGGACACGUGAUAUCCUGUCUGAAUAUGGGGGGACCAUCCUCCAAGGCUAAAUACUACUGACUGACCGAUAGUGAACCAGUACCGUGAGGGAAAGGCGAAAAGAACCCCUGUGAGGGGAGUGAAAUAGAACCUGAAACCGUGUACGUACAAGCAGUAGGAGCAGGCUUGUCCUGUGACUGCGUACCUUUUGUAUAAUGGGUCAGCGACUUAUAUUCAGUGGCAAGGUUAACCAUCUAGGGGAGCCGUAGGGAAACCGAGUCUUAACUGGGCGUUCAGUCUCUGGAUAUAGACCCGAAACCAGGUGAUCUAGCCAUGGGCAGGUUGAAGGUUGAGUAACAUCAACUGGAGGACCGAACCGACUAAUGUUGAAAAAUUAGCGGAUGACUUGUGGCUAGGGGUGAAAGGCCAAUCAAACCUGGAGAUAGCUGGUUCUCCCCGAAAGCUAUUUAGGUAGCGCCUCGGACGAAUACUACUGGGGGUAGAGCACUGUU
rnacentral:rRNA from 1 species